CCUACGGGUGGCAGCAGUGGGGAAUAUUGGGCAAUGGGCGCAAGCCUGACCCAGCAACGCCGCGUGAAUGAAGAAGGCUUUCGGGAUGUAAACUUCUAUUCUCAGGGACGAAGAAAGUGACGGUAGCUUAGGAAUCAGCGACUGCUAACUACGUGCCAGCCGCCGUGGUAAUACGUAGGGGGCAAGCGUUAUCCGGUUUUAUUGGGUGUAAAGGGCGUGUAGGCGGUGGCGCAAGUCAGAUGUGAAAACUCAGGGCUCAACCCCGAGCCUGCAUUUGAAACUGUGUUUCUUGAGUGCUGGAGAGGCAAUCGGAAUUCCGGGUGUAGCGGUGAAAUGCGGAGAUAUACGGAGGAACACCAGUGGCGAAGGCGGAUUGCUGGACAGUAACUGACGCUGAGGCGCGAAAGCGUGGGGAGCAAACAGGAUUAGAUACCCCUGUAGUC
rnacentral:rRNA from 1 species